rnacentral:rRNA from 1 species
UACAGAGGUCCCAAGCGUUGUUCGGAUUCAUUGGGCGUAAAGGGUGCGUAGGCGGCGCGGUAAGUCAGGGGUGAAAGCCCCGAGCUUAACUUGGGAAUUGCGCUUGUGACUGGCGUGCUGGAGUGUGGCAGAGGGAGGUGGAAUUCCACGUGUAGCAGUGAAAUGCGUAGAGAUGUGGAGGAACACCGAUGGCGAAGGCAGCCUCCUGGGCCAGCACUGACGCUCAUGCACGAAAGCGUGGGGAGCAAACAGG